rnacentral:rRNA from 1 species
AUUGCGGCGGCGGCACUCUCAUGUGCUGCCGUCACUCCUACACGAGGGUCGGAUA